CCCUUAGAUGUUCUGGGCUGCACGCGCGCUACACUGAUGCGUUCAACAAGUUUCCUUGGCCGAGAGGCCUGGGCAAUCUUCUUAAUAUGUAUCGUGAUAGGGAUAGAUUAUUGCAAUUAUUAAUCUUGAACGAGGAACUCCUAGUAAACGCAGAUCAUCAAUCUGCAUUGAUUACGUCCCUGCCCUUUGUACACACCGCCCGUCGCACCUACCGAUUGGAUGUUCCGGUGAAGCCUCGGGAUGAGGACUGGUGCCUUUAUUGGCAUGAGUUGUUCAGAACUUGUCUAAACCUUAUCAUCUAGAGGAAGGUGAAGUCGUAACA
rnacentral:rRNA from 1 species